rnacentral:lncRNA from 1 species
AUCUUGGGAACCAGCCGUCUUGGUAGAGCGGUAUUGGGGGGGCGCCGAGCUGGCUACCCUCCCCCCCUGUGGUUUCCGGAGGCUUGAUCGCCCGGCGUUGCCGCAGGGUCUUCCCGUUUGAGUACUUUUCAAUUUAGACCCAGUGCUGUGGAAGGGCGCGGACUUGUGCGGUGUUACCCCCUCGACGGGGGCUAUCUCCCCUGGACUAGCCCAGGGAGGGAGAGGCGGAGGAGGGUAGUAGUCUCAGGAGGCUGUUUGGCGUCUUGUGGUGUGAGCUCUUUGCGCUCUUUUUUGCGUGAGGAUUUUUGAGCUUGGUGACCUCCCCAGCCCGGGAAGACUCGUCGGGCUCCCGGUCGCCCAAGUCCUGGUAGCGAGCUCUCUGAGAUGCUCGGUUCGUUCGGUCGGCAGGAAGAGCCCCCCAGUUGCGACUUCGUUUAUGUUAGGAGACCAACGGGCAUAGAUCCCGUCUAGUUGGAGCGCCAAACAAGCGCUGUUGCGUGCCGGCCGUCGUUUCCCGUGCGGCCUGACCCGGGGGCGGAGUGCAUGAGACUAACCAGCCGUAUGCACCCGCCCCCCGCGCUGUGCUUCGGCCCUGGGCCCCCGGCUUUUCAGCCCACAGUGUAAUCAACGUCAUACAUACAUACAUACAUACAUACAUACAUACAUACAUACAUACAUACAUACAUACAUACACCUCCCCAGCCCGGGAUACCUCCCCAGCCCGGGAUGACUCGUCGGGCUCCCGGUCGCCCAAGUCCUGGUAGCGAGCUCUCUGAGAUGCUCGGUUCGUUCGGUCGGCAGGUAGAGCCCCCCAGUUGCGACUUCGUUUAUGUUAGGAGACCAACGGGCAUAGAUCCCGUCUAGUUGGAGCGCCAAACAAGCGCUGUUGCGUGCCGGCCGUCGUUUCCCGUGCGGCCUGACCCGGGGGCGGAGUGCAUGAGACUAACCAGCCGUAUGCUCCCGCCCCCCGCGCUGUGCUUCGGCCCUGGGCCCCCGGCUUUUCAGCCCACAGUGUAAUCAACGUCAUACAUACAUACAUACAUACAU